rnacentral:rRNA from 2 species
UAGGGAAUCUUCGGCAAUGGACGAAAGUCUGACCGAGCAACGCCGCGUGAGUGAAGAAGGUUUUCGGAUCGUAAAACUCUGUUGUUAGAGAAGAACAAGGACGUUAGUAACUGAACGUCCCCUGACGGUAUCUAACCAGAAAGCCACGGCUAACUACGUGCCAGCAGCCGCGGUAAUACGUAGGUGGCAAGCGUUGUCCGGAUUUAUUGGGCGUAAAGCGAGCGCAGGCGGUUUCUUAAGUCUGAUGUGAAAGCCCCCGGCUCAACCGGGGAGGGUCAUUGGAAACUGGGAGACUUGAGUGCAGAAGAGGAGAGCGGAAUUCCAUGUGUAGCGGUGAAAUGCGUAGAUAUAUGGAGGAACACCAGUGGCGAAGGCGGCUCUCUGGUCUGUAACUGACGCUGAGGCUCGAAAGCGUGGGGAGCAAACAGG